AAAUUGAAGAGUUUGAUCAUGGCUCAGAUUGAACGCUGGCGGCAGGCCUAACACAUGCAAGUCGAACGGUAACAGAAAGCAGCUUGCUGCUUUGCUGACGAGUGGCGGACGGGUGAGUAAUGUCUGGGAAACUGCCUGAUGGAGGGGGAUAACUACUGGAAACGGUAGCUAAUACCGCAUAACGUCGCAAGACCAAAGAGGGGGACCUUCGGGCCUCUUGCCAUCGGAUGUGCCCAGAUGGGAUUAGCUUGUUGGUGGGGUAACGGCUCACCAAGGCGACGAUCCCUAGCUGGUCU
rnacentral:rRNA from 1 species